GGAGAGCUCAGUGGCAGAGCGCGUGCCUAGCGUGCGUGAGGUCCUGGGUUCCACCCCCAGGGCCUCCA
rnacentral:tRNA from 1 species